UACAGAGGUCUCAAGCGUUGUUCGGAUUCAUUGGGCGUAAAGGGUGCGUAGGCGGCGUGGUAAGUCGGGUGUGAAAUCUCGGAGCUUAACUCCGAAACUGCAUUCGAUACUGCCGUGCUUGAGGACUGGAGAGGAGACUGGAAUUUACGGUGUAGCGGUGAAAUGCGUAGAUAUCGUAAGGAAGACCAGUGGCGAAGGCGGCAUCCUGGACCAACACUGACACUGAGGAGCGAAAGCCAGGGGAGCAAACGGG
rnacentral:rRNA from 1 species